rnacentral:rRNA from 1 species
GACGAACGCUGGCGGCGUGCUUAACACAUGCAAGUCGAACGGAAAGGCCCUGCUUUUGUGGGGUGCUCGAGUGGCGAACGGGUGAGUAACACGUGAGUAACCUGCCCUUGACUUUGGGAUAACUUCAGGAAACUGGGGCUAAUACCGGAUAGGAGCUCCUGCUGCAUGGUGGGGGUUGGAAAGUUUCGGCGGUUGGGGAUGGACUCGCGGCUUAUCAGCUUGUUGGUGGGGUAGUGGCUUACCAAGGCUUUGACGGGUAGCCGGCCUGGGAGGGUGACCGGCCACCUUGCGACUGCGAUACGGACCAGUCUCCUACCGGAGGCAGCAGUGGGGAAUAUUGCACAAUGGGCGGAAGCCUGAUGCAGCAACGCCGCGUGCGGGAUGCCGGCCUUCGGGUUGUAAACCGCUUUCGCCUGUGACGAAGCGUGAGUGACGGUAAUGGGUAAAGAAGCACCGGCUAACUACGUG